GUGCUGGUAGAGGGUUUACGUGAUCCUUACUGGCAGUGAGGGGGUCAGGGGUUCGAGUCCCCUUAGCUCC
rnacentral:tRNA from 1 species